rnacentral:tRNA from 1 species
AUGGGGUUUUGGCUCAGAGAUAGAGCGCUCGCCUAGCAUGCAUGAGGCACUGGGUUCGAUCCUCAGCACCACAUA